rnacentral:hammerhead_ribozyme from 1 species
GCACUGCUGAGGAGUCCCAUACUAGGACGCAACGGCCGUCCAGUGC